CCUACGGGAGGCAGCAGUGAGGAAUAUUGGGCAAUGGGCGCGAGCCUGAACCAGCCAAGUAGCGUGAAGGAUGACGGCCCUACGGGUUGUAAACUGCUUUUAUAAAGGAAUAAAGUGAGGCACGUGUGCCUUUUUGCAUGUACGUUAUGAAUAAGGAUCGGCUAACUCCGUGCCAGCAGCCGCGGUAAUACGGAGGAUCCGAGCGUUAUCCGGAUUUAUUGGGUUUACAGGGAGCGUAGAUGGGUUGUUAAGUCAGUUGUGAAAGUUUGCGGCUCAACCGUGAAAUUGCAUUUGAUACUGGCAGUCUUGAGUACAGUUGAGGUCGGCGGAAUUCGUGGUGUAGCGGUGAAAUGCUUAGAUAUCACGAAGAACUCCGAUUGCGAAGGCAGCUUACUAAACUGCCACUGACAUUGAUGCUCGAAAGUGUGGGUAUCAAACAGGAUUAGAUACCCUAGUAGUC
rnacentral:rRNA from 1 species